AACAGCUUGCUGUUUCGCUGACGAGUGGCGGACGGGUGAGUAAUGUCUGGGAAACUGCCUGAUGGAGGGGGAUAACUACUGGAAACGGUAGCUAAUACCGCAUAACGUCGCAAGACCAAAGAGGGGGACCUUCGGGCCUCUUGCCAUCGGAUGUGCCCAGAUGGGAUUAGCUAGUAGGUGGGGUAACGGCUCACCUAGGCGACGAUCCCUAGCUGGUCUGAGAGGAUGACCAGCCACACUGGAACUGAGACACGGUCCAGACUCCUACGGGAGGCAGCAGUGGGGAAUAUUGCACAAUGGGCGCAAGCCUGAUGCAGCCAUGCCGCGUGUAUGAAGAAGGCCUUCGGGUUGUAAAGUACUUUCAGCGGGGAGGAAGGGAGUAAAGUUAAUACCUUUGCUCAUUGACGUUACCCGCAGAAGAAGCACCGGCUAACUCCGUGCCAGCAGCCGCGGUAAUACGGAGGGUGCAAGCGUUAAUCGGAAUUACUGGGCGUAAAGCGCACGCAGGCGGUUUGUUAAGUCAGAUGUGAAAUCCCCGGGCUCAACAUGGGAACUGCAUCUGAUACUGGCAAGCUUGAGUCUCGUAGAGGGGGGUAGAAUUCCAGGUGUAGCGGUGAAAUGCGUAGAGAUCUGGAGGAAUACCGGUGGCGAAGG
rnacentral:rRNA from 1 species